rnacentral:rRNA from 1 species
AUGUGUCCUCGGGAGCACUUUUCCUAUUAUAAGAGUUUGUUCCGGCUUGUCCUUUGCUACAAAAGGAUUGGGCCACCUUGCUGCACUUUAUUUACUGUUGUUACUUGUUGCUCGUUACAAUUUAUCCUAUCACAAAACUAUCUGUUACCACUUAUUUCAGUACUUGCAGAGAACACCUUGCUGAAAACCGCUUAUCAUUUCCUUCUGCUCCUUGUUGGGUUCGACACUCUUACUUAUCGAAAGGACUAUGAUAGAUCCCCUAUACUUGUGGGUCAUCAAGACUCUUUUCUGGCGCCGUUGCCGGGGAGUGUAGCUCCUUUGGUAGGUGGAAUUUGGUAA